UGCGCGCGCAGAGCGCCUGCGAGCGGCGUCACCGCGGGAGAUGCAGCGCCUGGGCGGUCUCUGGCUCUUAUGGCGGCGGCCUCCGGCGGCAGGGGUCGCGGCAAAGGGCCUCGGUCUCAGGGAGGUCGCCUCCGGCGUCUCUCCCCCGGGCAGCACCUCGCCCAGAGCCCUAAAUAUCUUCGACCGAGAUUUGAAGAGAAAACAGAAGAACUGGGCGGCCCGGCAGCCUGAGCCGAUGAGGUUUGACUACCUGAAGGAGGAGGUUGGAAGUCAGAUUGCAGAUCGUGUGUAUGACAUAACCAGGAAUUUUUCCCUUGCUUUGGAUGUUGGUUGUGGAAGAGGUUACAUAGCACAACAUUUGAAUAAGGAAACUGUUGGGAAGUUUUUCCAAGUAGACAUUGCAGAAAAUGCUUUGAAAAAUACCUUAGAAAUGGAAAUUCCUACUGUCAGUGUUUUAGCUGAUGAAGAGUUCCUUCCCUUCAAAGAAAAUACAUUUGACCUGGUGGUUAGCAGUUUAAGUUUACACUGGGUGAAUGACCUUCCUAGAGCACUUGAACAGAUUCAUUAUGUUUUAAAACCAGAUGGAGUAUUUAUUGGUGCAAUGUUUGGAGGUGACACACUCUAUGAACUUCGGUGUUCAUUACAGUUAGCAGAAACAGAAAGGGAAGGAGGAUUUUCUCCACACGUUUCUCCUUUCACUGCUGUCAAUGACUUAGGACAUCUGCUUGGGAGAGCUGGCUUUAAUACACUGACUGUGGAUACUGAUGAAAUUCAAGUUAAUUAUCCUGGGAUGUUUGAAUUGAUGGAAGAUUUGCAAGAAAAAGUCCAGAAUGUUGACCUAAUUUUACAAAACAAGUUGCAUAUCAGCUGAUGAAUACAUGAAAAGUUUUGGAGGCUUUCACAGUAGUUUUAAGGCAUGGGCGAGAGUAACUGUGCUUGGAAUAGAAAAGCCCUGCUGCACCGAGACACGAUGCUGGCGGCGGCGGCGGUGUACAGAGAAAUGUACAGAAAUGAGGAUGGUUCAGUACCUGCCACAUAUCAAAUCUAUUACAUGAUAGGAUGGAAAUACCAUGAUUCACAGGCAAGACCAGCUGAAAGAGGUUCAGCAACUGUGUCAUUUGGAGAGCUGGGAAAAAUAAACAAUCUUAUGUCACAGGGGAAGAAGUCUCAAUAAAUAUUUCAUUCAA